rnacentral:rRNA from 1 species
UACGGGGGGGGCAAGCGUUGUUCGGAAUUACUGGGCGUAAAGGGCUCGUAGGCGGCCAACUAAGUCAGACGUGAAAUCCCUCGGCUUAACCGGGGAACUGCGUCUGAUACUGGAUGGCUUGAGAUUGGGAGAGGGAUGCGGAAUUCCAGGUGUAGCGGUGAAAUGCGUAGAUAUCUGGAGGAACACCGGCGGCGAAGGCGACAUCCUGGACCAACACUGACGCUGAGGAGCGAAAGCCAGGGGAGCAAACGGG